rnacentral:lncRNA from 1 species
ACAGAUUCUUUGGCUCUUUGAUCAAGCCCGAGGUUCUCCCCUGUGAAGUAAGUGGUCACAGACCUGAGUAGAGGCCAUUGGUUCUCAAGGUGGUCUUUCUGCAUAGAUGACACCAGGAGAAACAGAGACUUCAAGACUAUUGGUCAAGCACCUGCAGCUGCACCCUGGAGUAAGGGUACUCGGGCCUUAAACUGACUUCAGUUCUGCCUCUGCCUGCCUCCCCUGGAGGAGAGAAACACCAUGAGCCAGUCUGGAUUGUGCCUUGUGACGGUGACGUUGUAAAUAAUAUGUAUGAACCCGACCCGGACCUGCUGGCCGGCCAGAGUGCUGAGGAGGAGACCGAGGACAGCAUCUUGUCCCCCAUCCCUAUGGGGCCGCCGUCCCCCUUCCCCACCAGCGAGGACUUCACCCCUAAGGAGGGCUCGCCCUAUGAGGCUCCUGUCUACAUUCCUGAAGACAUUCCAAUCCCACCAGACUUUGAGUUGCGGGAAUCCUCCAUCCCAGGAGCUGGUCUGGGGAUCUGGGCCAAGCGGAAGAUGGAAAUUGGGGAGAGGCUUGGCCCCUACGUGGUGGCGCCCCGGGCCGCACUGAAGGAGGCUGACUUUGGAUGGGAGCAGAUGCUGACGGAUACAGAGGUGUCAUCCCAGGAGAGUUGCAUCAAAAAGGUAGGCAACCAUGCCAUCUCUGAUGUCACCCAGCACCCUUUCACGCAGUCCCUGGGGGGACAGCUGUGCUGUCUUGGUUGUUUCUGAGCUACAGAGCAAAGAAGCCGUUCAUGAUCAGAGCUUUAUCUGCACACAGUGUAUGAAUGCCAUCAUGGGAGACGCUUGUUUUCACUGUGUAAGCGGCGGGGCGGGGGUCACCUCACUAAGCCACCCCAGCUCUUGAGAACAGAGGACAACCCUGGGCCCGUGGGAAUGCUGCAGGCCAUGCAGACACAUGGAAACUAAAUAAAGGCAGGUUGUGUUUAUUUAACUAUCUUCACCGAAUACUCACAAGAGAAGAAUAUGGGGCGCGCGCAAUGGGCCA